rnacentral:rRNA from 1 species
CAGCCGCCGCGGUAAUACGUAGGUGGCAAGCGUUAUCCGGAAUUAUUGGGCGUAAAGGGCUCGCAGGCGGUUUCUUAAGUCUGAUGUGAAAGCCCCCGGCUCAACCGGGGAGGGUCAUUGGAAACUGGGAGACUUGAGUGCAGAAGAGGAGAGUGGAAUUCCACGUGUAGCGGUGAAAUGCGUAGAGAUGUGGAGGAACACCAGUGGCGAAGGCGACUCUCUGGUCUGUAACUGACGCUGAGGAGCGAAAGCGUGGGGAGCGAACAGGAUUAGAUACCCGUGUAGUCCCUGUCUCUUAUAA